AAGCAACGACGAAGAACCUUACCAGGCCUUGACAUGCAGAGAACUUUCCAGAGAUGGAGUUGGUGCCUUCGGGAACUCUGACACAGGUGCUGCAUGGCUGUCGUCAGCUCGUGUCGUGAGAUGUUGGGUUAAGUCCCGUAACGAGCGCAACCCCUAUCAUUAGUUGCCAUCAGGUCAAGCUGGGGACUCUAAUGAAACUGCCUACGCAAGUAGUGAGGAAGGUGGGGAUGACGUCAAGUCCUCAUGGCCUUUAUGACCAGGGCUACACACGUACUACAAUGGCCGAUACAAAGGGCAGCGACACUGCGAGGUGAAGCCAAUCCCGUAAAAUCGGUCUCAGUCCGGAUUGGAGUCUGCAACUCGACUCCAUGAAGUUGGAAUCGCUAGUAAUCGUGGAUCAGCAUGCCACGGUGAAUACGUUCCCGGGCCUU
rnacentral:rRNA from 1 species